UUCGCAAUGCCCGAAAGGGUGACGAAGCGACGCCGCGUGAGCGAAGAAGGCCUUAGGGUUGUAAAGCUCUGUCAGGGGUUAAGAAAUGUGGAUCGGUUAAUACCCGGUUUAUUUGACAAAAGCCCCAAAGGAAGCCACGGCUAACUCUGUGCCAGCAGCCGCGGUAAUACAGAGGUGGCAAGCGUUGUUCGGUAUUAUUGGGCGUAAAGAGCACGUAGGUGGUUUUGUAAGUCAGAUGUGAAAGCCUUCUGUUUAAAGGAAGAACGGCAUCUGAAACUGCGGAUCUUGAGUGUAGGAGGGGAGAGUGGAACUUCUGGUGGAGCGGUGAAAUGCGUAGAUAUCAGAAGGAACGUCGGCGGCGAAAGCGACUCUCUGGCCUAUUACUGACACUGAGUGUGCGAAAGUUAGGGGAGCAAACGGGAUUAGAUACCCCGGUAGUCCUAACCGUAAACGAUGGGCACUAAGUAGAGGGGUUUU
rnacentral:rRNA from 1 species